CCUACGUGUGGCAGCAGUGGGGAAUAUUGGGCAUUGGGCGCAAGCCUUACCCAGCAACGCCGCGUGAAGGAAGAAGGCUUUCGGGUUGUCAACUUCUUUUGUCAGGGAAGAGUAGAAGACGGUACCUGACGAAUAAGCCACGGCUAACUACGUGCCAGCAGCCGCGGUACUACGUAGGUGGCAAGCGUUGUCCGGAUUUACUGGGUGUAAAGGGCGUGUAGCCGGGUUGACAAGUCAGAUGUGAAAUCCUGCGGCUUAACCGCAGAACUGCAUUUGAAACUGUUGAUCUUGAGUACUGGAGAGGCAGACGGAAUUCCUAGUGUAGCGGUGAAAUGCGUAGAUAUUAGGAGGAACACCAGUGGCGAAGGCGGUCUGCUGGACAGCAACUGACGGUGAGGCGCGAAAGCGUGGGGAGCAAACAGGAUUAGAUACCCGAGUAGUC
rnacentral:rRNA from 1 species